GCCCGUGUGGCAAAGUGGUUGGAGCAUUGGACUAUGACUCUGGAGACUAGGGUUUGAAUCCUGGCUCGGUCA